AACGAACGCUGGCGGCAUGCCUAACACAUGCAAGUCGAACGAGACCUUCGGGUCUAGUGGCGCACGGGUGCGUAACGCGUGGGAACCUGCCCUUAGGUUCGGAAUAACUCCCCGAAAGGGGUGCUAAUACCGGAUAAUGUCUUCGGACCAAAGAUUUAUCGCCUUUGGAUGGGCCCGCGUUGGAUUAGCUAGUUGGUAGGGUAAAAGCCUACCAAGGCGACGAUCCAUAGCUGGUCUGAGAGGAUGCGCAGCCACACUGGGACUGAGACACGGCCCAGACUCCUACGGGAGGCAGCAGUGGGGAAUAUUGGACAAUGGGCGAAAGCCUGAUCCAGCAAUGCCGCGUGAGUGAUGAAGGCCUUAGGGUUGUAAAGCUCUUUUACCCGGGAUGAUAAUGACAGUACCGGGAGAAUAAGCUCCGGCUAACUCCGUG
rnacentral:rRNA from 1 species